rnacentral:tRNA from 2 species
UGCCGAGUAGUGUAACGGUAGCACUAGGGACUUUGGAUCCCUCAGUUCAGGUUCGAAUCCUGGCUCGGCAGCCA